UACGUAGGGUGCAAGCGUUGUCCGGAAUUAUUGGGCGUAAAGAGCUCGUAGGCGGUCUGUCGCGUCUGCUGUGAAAACUCGGGGCUUAACCCCGGGCCUGCAGUGGGUACGGGCAGACUAGAGUGCGGUAGGGGAGACUGGAAUUCCUGGUGUAGCGGUGAAAUGCGCAGAUAUCAGGAGGAACACCGGUGGCGAAGGCGGGUCUCUGGACCGUAACUGACGCUGAAUAGCGAAAGCCAGGGGAGCAAACGGG
rnacentral:rRNA from 1 species